CUUUGGAAAGAACUGUGGCAUUAAGAAAACCAAAGGCUUAUUGGUCACAAAAACUUGUAAAACAAGAAGCUAUGAACCGAAGAAGAAGCUACUAAAUGAAAUAAGAAGCUAUACUAUUAAGGAAAAUUGCAAAAGAAGUUAUGAAGUAAAAUGCGGAAAGUAAACUAAAUAUGUACAAUAGGGUAUUUAGACGAAUAUAAAUAAGAGGAAAUGAAUAUAUACAUGAGAGAGUAAUAGAUAUAGACCAAGAUUGAAAAAUAACAAAAAGUGAAAUAAAUGGUAAAGUUAUAUACAUACCAAAAGUUAAAAAUAAGCAUAAAGAAAAAAUAGUAUCAUCAUUACAACCAAACUAUCAAAUCAUCAAAUCAAAAUAGGACCACCCCCUCAAAUGAAAACUAGCAUUGUCCUCAAUGCUAAAUAACCAAAAAUAAGAUCAAAAAGGGGUUAAAGAGUAAAGAAAAAUCCCUAUGGGUGCUCUGUCUGCAUGGAGUCCUGUGGUUGGGUGCCUGGAUCACCUGGCUCAAGGUCCUGUGGCUGGCCUGAGGCACCUCUCUCAAGGUCCUUCAGCUCAAUCUCGACAUCAUCAACCCGGGGCAUCACUUUCCUCCUCCUAGGCUCUCCCUCAGUCUCUUGCUCUUGAACCUGCUCUAUCUGAGCUGCUGGAAGUUGGUCCCGUGAUAGUAGCUCCAAUGGUAGGUCACCAGCUGGCUUUAUCUUCUCCACCUCUCCCCUCAAUUGCUUCACCGACUCCUUUAAGGCCCGAGUCUUUUUCAGCUUCUUUGUCUACUUGCUCAGCUCCUUAAUUGAUCUUCCUUGAAUUGCAAGAGCAUACAUGAUAAGCUUUUGGUUGUCCAAGAGCAUCUUCUGGUUGUCCAGAAACUCCUUGAGGGACUCCUCUACUGAAGCUGGCACCUGGGGCUGUGUGGGAACUGACUGGGCUGCCACUAAACUAGAUAGCACAGACAGGUUAGAAGUUGUUGCCUGCAUCCAGUUGUUGAUACUGGAGAAUGUUUGGUUCAACCUGUAAGCAGUCAACGGGUAUGCUGAGGAGGAGGGCACUGAGGACGGCAUAGAAGUAGAUAGUCCGAAGGCAAGAUCUGGUAUGGUAGUGGGAGACUGUGAAAUAGUGACUAUCACUACUGGCUCUUCAGAUUGGCCAGUAAAAGCAGUAGUUUUGCCCUUGGAUCCCUUGAAUUAAGGGUUUCCUGGACCCUGAAGGUUGUACCAUGAGAAGGGCUUCUUGGGCUUUACCGUGAUAUCGAAAUGUCUUUUUUUCUACCUCCUGAUCUUCCAAGUACAUGGUGAGGAAAUUCAGGAAGGGGUAAGAUCUAUCACUACAAUCGAGUGGGCGGGUCGUGAAUAGCCGCCACUACAAUCGCCCGGGAAACCGGUAUGGUGUUGUCGUGAAUAGUGAUGCCAACCAUGGGCGGGUCGCCUCAUCCAUCGCCACCUUCUCUAAGUACAGCGACUCAUCUUCAUCAUUGAAUCCAAAAUAAUCAUUUAGAGUCGUCCCAUCAAACUUGACCUUCAAGUUCCGCACCUUAGUCACUUUUGUGCCUUUUUUGAUGUGAGAGGCAUUGGCAUAGAAUUCCUUGACUAGGUGCUCAUUAGCAUCCGGCACCUUGCUAGUGAAGUACUCCUAUCCCACUAUUUCAUUGAAGUGCUGCUUCACAUUAGGGUUGUGGAGCAGAAGAUCCCGCUCUAUGAACUGAUGCUCAUGUAUGAGUGAUUUUUUAGGCCACCACUCCCUGAACUUGUGAUAUGCUAGCUCACUGACAAAUCUUUGUUGCCAAACCUCUGGGUUUCUUGUCCUCUCCACACCUACGGUCUGCGUAUCACCCCCUCUCCCAUUAUCCGGUACCUCGACAUCUACAUCUAUGAGACCCUGUGCCGGUGACGAAGCUAUGAGUAAGGCUGAAGUUGAGGACUCACUAUCACACCUCCUUUUUCCCAUAGGGAAUAGGGAGUUUUUCCAAUUAAACGGGAUUAUUUAUAUUCAAUUUAGAGUCGUCACUUGGGAUAAUUUAUGGUGUCCCAAGUCACCAGUUUAAAAUUCCUAAUCGAGGAAGUUUGACUAUGUUUUACAAUCCGCGAAACACAGAAAUCCGGGUAAGGAAUUCUGUUAACCCAGGAGAAGGUGUUAGGCAUUCCCGGGUUCUAUGGUUUUUGCACAGUCGCUCAACUGUUAAUAUUGGCCUAAUUAUCUGAUUUGUUACACAUUUUAAACCUACGUGCAUUUGUAACUUUCUAACCGCUUUUAAUGUUUAUAGAAUUAUUUUCUGGAACAAGUCACAAUUGUCGUACAUUUGUCAUUUUGGUACACAUUGCAAACCGCGUCACAUGAAAUGCACCCGUGAUUGACAACAUGUUUAUUUUAUUAUUGUUCGAAGUUAUGGUCGGGUUACAUAAAAUGCACACCCAAAUUGUGAUUUAUGUAUCGCGGCCAUGCCACGGGAAUCGUACUCAUGGCCACGAUGAUUUAUUAAUCGCGCAUGAAGCAAACUACGCCGUUCAUAGUUAUCAUCCUAAACCAAUUUGGGAUUGUUGUAAGCCCGGGAUUUAUGGAAUUAUGGAGUUUAAACUUGGACGAAAUUUGAUGUAUUAAGACUAAUUUAAUAGAUUCCAACGUACUGCGGUAUUUAUGAAGGAAAGGUCUCCGAAAGAGUCCAAGUCAAUUACUUCAUAAAGCUCUUUAUUUACUAAAACUUAACUCCAAUCACUAAAAUUAAUAUAACCCAUAAGUUAAAAGAAGUCCAUCAACAUAAAUAUGUAAUUCACAGCCUCAAACAUUAGUUAAAGUAUUUUUGGGAUAAAUUAAAAUACUAAAAAGAAUAAUGAAACAGAAAGGAAAAUUAUUACAAAAUCAAGACAACGGACCAACCAAAAAACGAGCAUUUCACUAAAAUAACAAUACAACCCAACGUAGUAUGAAACAUAUUCAACGUAGUAUGGAACAAAACCUGGGAUCACUCAGAAACCCACACUUAUUUGUAUUAGGCAAGUUAAAUCAACAGUUUAUUUCAAUUAAUUUUAUGUAGAAUAUGAAGGCGUGAAACAUCAUCUCAGAAUGACCAUAAUUCCAAGCGUGAAAGAAAAGGGAAGAAAGAGAUGAACCUGAAAUUACAGCUUUUACUUUCGGCUUUGAAUAUACAAUAAGAAAUACAGUGCCAAAAUUCGUGCGUCCAGUAGAAAACAAACAAAACAGCGAUAAAAAUGGAUUUGGAACCACAAUCAAGAACCUCACGAGCAGUCGACGUACCUCAACCAAAAAUCUUCUCUUGAUUUUGGUUGUUCCCCUUUUUCCUCUUUUCUGUUUUGAUUUCAAUUUCCUCCCCCUCUGUCUCUCUGUUACUGUUACUCUCUAUUCUUCUUUUGUUUUCUUUUUAAUUGUCAUGUCUUUUGGUCUUUGUUUUGUGCAGGUUAUGGUUGUCUAGGUUUGUCAUUCUCUCUAUGCAAAGAGAUGAGUGGUCCGAUUUUUAUAUGGGGUAGAGGGUUCUGCCGUUCUGCUCUUUUUUCUUAGGUCC
rnacentral:lncRNA from 1 species